AUUGAACGCUGGCGGCAGGCCUAACAAAUGCAAGUCGAGCGAGCGACGGACGGGUACAUAAUUUAUGGGGAUCUGCCCGAUAGAGGGGGAUAACUACUGGACAAGGUCGCUACUACCGCAUACUAUCGUAUGCACCCAUAUGGGGUUAGCUAGUAGGGGGGGUAAAGGCUCACCUAGGAGACGCUCUCUAGCUGGUCUGAGAGGCUGAUCAGCAACACUGGGCCUGAGCAACGGCCCAGACUCCUACGGGAGGCAGCAGUGGGGAAGAUUGCAUAAUGGGCGCAAGCGUGAUGCAGCCAUGCCGCGUGUAUGACGAAGUCCUUAGGUUUGUAAAGUACUUUCAGCGUGGAGGCGUUACCCGCAGAAGAAGCACCGGCUAACUCCGUGCCAGCAGCCGCGGUAAUAC
rnacentral:rRNA from 1 species